AAGUCGUAACAAGGUUUCCGUAGGUGAACCUGCGGAAGGAUCAUUACAAAUCUAGUUGUAGCUCUCUCUUUUGAGAGAGUUUACAUAAGCACGGUGCCGCAAGGUGCCGAUGUUUACGCUUGUAUGUUUGACAGAGUUAUUUUGUUGCCUUAAAAUUGACAACUUUUAACAAUGGAUCUCUUGGCUCUU
rnacentral:misc_RNA from 1 species